CUCCAGGCCGUUCGGUACUUUGUUCCCUGGAAGGCAAUCGGUCAUUUAACAUGUCUUUUAAUAAAUGUGUUUUUCGUGGGGCGUUCGGUUGUUUUAGCUGGGAUGUGAGUGGUAAUCUCACGAAUGAUGCGCUCAGACCCAAGCUAUCUACCGAACGUCCAUUCGUGCAAAUAGACCGUAUAUUACCACAGUUAUGCAUUUUAAUAUAAAUUGUCGGUUCUGCUGCACGGAGGGAUAAUCCACUUAACGGUAUAUUCCAGUGGGAGGAUCCCUCUCGUGCAGCAGUGCCUGAUGGGAGAAAUAGCUUGUACAAUAAGUCCCCCAUGUAGUCCCCUCUGGGACUGCCCCUGGGAAAGGAAACCCCUUGCAUGGGGACUUGUAUAAGUUGUGGAGCUGAAAUAAAAGACCUGUCGACUCUCAGAACUGUGUUUCAUCCGGUUACUGGGAGAUUUGGGAUAUUGCCUUGCUUUUUCCAGCGCUUGACUGUGGAUUACUUCCUGAACCAGCGGAAUUCGUGGAUUUAAUAUUGGUGUUCCGCUACACCUCCCAAUGCUUCCGUAUGGCUAAGCAUUGUAUUGACUGAGAUCACCAAUUCGGAGGAUCUCAGCCAGGGAUCCGGAGCGGCGGCAGGGCCAACGCUGGAAUAAAGGUAAGCUUUUUAAAAACACUGUGUUCCUUUAAUGUAAACAAAG